CGGGGCGUAGCGCAGUUUGGCUAGCGCGCACGGUUCGGGACCGUGAGGUCGGAGGUUCAAGUCCUCUCGCCCCGACCA
rnacentral:tRNA from 1 species